UGCAGCAAAAUGAAAUACUUAUGAUUCCUUAACAUGCUCAAAGAAAAUAUGAAAGUUCUUCUAUUUUGUUUACAAAAUUGAGAUAGUUGGAUGAACGUGCACAAAAAAGAAUGGGCUGCAUGCUGCUUCAAAAUCCUCUUAUGAAACAAAGAUUUCGCCGCAUGAUCCAGAGAAUGCAGGCAUGUUUAAUCUACAUAUUGUGUUUUACUAUCUGAUCCAAUAGACAAGGGAACAUAAUUGCUUGAUUAUUGAAAGAAUAGUCAUCUCUCUGAUUGGCACGAAGAAAGCUAAGCAAUAUCGUGAGAUGGUAAGUCGCUAAGAGAAUCUGCUCAAGAUGGUCAUGAGUUCACUUCAGAAAAUCAGGGAAUGUCAGCAGAUGUUAUCCUAAAGCAUUUUUGGCAACAGAAGAAGAACUUCUUGCUCUGUAUGUGUAGUGAAGGGAAAUUAGUGGAUGGUGCAGCAAGGGGCUGAUGGUUAGGAAUGAGGUGGAAACAAAAUUAUUCAAGAACACAGGGGAAUAGAGUUACAAGUUGAGGCAUUAUGUUUGAGGAUACUUUUAUAAGACAAUUAAGGGAAGACCAUUUGAGGAUUAUGUUUUUUUUUUUUACGGGAAAUGCUAUUUAGCCUUUCAUGCUCACAUCUCAAUUUAUCGUAAUUUGAUUUAAUUACUCAUAUUGAUUAAGCUAAACUUAUUUUGUUUAUUUGAUGUUGUCUUGAUGGUAUUGCAACUUGCUAUUUUGAUUAUGCAUAAUGCUGUCACACUCACUAUUUUGCCUCUUCAAAAGAAAUCCAAACUGCACUCCAUCCUAAAAAAUUGAUUAGGUAUGCACAUGGUGGCCGAAUUCAAUUAUUUUAGAGGAUCGUCUUUCACCUUCUCUACUAGAUAUGUAAAUCAUCGGGGUCCCAACUAUAAAUAUUCAGAACAUACUAACAUUGUUUGCUCUGAAUUUUAUAACUCACUCUCAAAAGGCUCCCGUACUCCCUUCCAAUAAUUUUCUGGAGGAUUUUGAUGAGGAUAACAACGGAGUCGUCUAUCCUAUCAAGAACCAGGUGAGUGGUGUGUUGGAGAAACCUUCCUCAAGCCAUCAAAAUCAGUGGUGUGUUGAAGAAACCUUCCUUAAGCCAUCAAAAUCAUUUUUGAGCUUUACUAUGCGGUUGAGUCUGAGAUUUACCAAUGACUAAGAAGUAGGAAAGCUUCACUUCAUCGGUUCUUGGAGAAAAGGAAGAAUAGACUCCAACAUUAUACAGGCUUCUCUGCUACCCUUUUGUUGUUUCUCUAUGAAGUGGAUCAAUUAGAUCAGAUGUGUGUUUCUCUAUUUUUGUAAGACUGAGUCCUAUGCUCAAAAAUAUCUAUACAUAUUUGUGAAUGUUGUGGUGCGUCCUUAUUAGUACCAUAUUUAAGAGUGUAUUUCUGAUUGACCCCAAAAACAAUGUACUUAUAGUUAUUUACACUCAUUAUAUGUGAGUGACUCUAUUUAGUAUUAUUGUUAUAGUAAAUGUCCUCAAUAUCAUUCUUCUGAUAUUAAUUGCUUCAUCAACAUGAGUUUUAUAUUUUCGC